ACAGUACAAACUGAACAGGCGAUGACCAGGAGGUCAUUUGCCGGGCCAUUGUGGCAGCAGACGUGAAGCAUCUGCGGGACAGU
rnacentral:ncRNA from 1 species